UACGAAGGGGGCGAGCGUUGUUCGGAUUUACUGGGCGUAAAGGGCGCGCAGGCGGCCGCAUUUGUCAGGCGUGAAAGCCCCGGGCUUGACCUGGGAACUGCGUUUGAUACGGUGUGGCUAGAGUUCGGGAGAGGAGAGUGGAAUUCCCAGUGUAGAGGUGAAAUUCGUAGAUAUUGGGAAGGAACACCGGUGGCGAAGGCGGCUCUCUGGACCGAGACUGACGCUGAGGCGCGAAAGCUAGGGGGAGCGAAACAGGG
rnacentral:rRNA from 1 species